rnacentral:rRNA from 1 species
GACGAACGCUGGCGGCGUGCUUAACACAUGCAAGUCGAACGGAAAGGCCCUGCUUUUGUGGGGUGCUCGAGUGGCGAACGGGUGAGUAACACGUGAGUAACCUGCCCUUGACUUUGGGAUAACUUCAGGAAACUGGGGCUAAUACCGGAUAGGAGCUCCUGCUGCAUGGUGGGGGUUGGAAAGUUUCGGCGGUUGGGGAUGGACUCGCGGCUUAUCAGCUUGUUGGUGGGGUAGUGGCUUACCAAGGCUUUGACGGGUAGCCGGCCUGGGAGGGUGACCGGCCACAUUGGGACUGAGAUACGGACCAGACUCCUACGGGAGGCAACAGUGGGGAAUAUUGCACAAUGGGCGGAAGCCUGAUGCAGCGACGCCGCGUGCGGGAUGACGGCCUUCGGGUUGUAAACCGCUUUCGCCUGUGACGAAGCGUGAGUGACGGUAAUGGGUAAAGAAGCACCGGCUAACUACGUG